CACGUAGGUGACAAGCGUUAUCCGGAUUUACUGGGCGUAAAGGGUCCGUAGGUGGUAGGCGAGGUCUGUUGUGAAAUCUCCCGGCUCAACUGGGAGGAGCCAAUGGAAACCGGCCAACUAGAGUCACACAGAGGUCACUCGAAUUCCCGGUGUAGUGGUGGAAUGCGUAGAGAUCGGGAGGAAGACCAGAGGCGCAAGCGGGUGACUGGGUGCUGACUGACACUGAGGGACGAAAGCGUGGGGAGCGAACAGG
rnacentral:rRNA from 1 species